rnacentral:rRNA from 1 species
AUUGAACGCUGGCGGCAUGCCUUACACAUGCAAGUCGAACGGCAGCACGGGGGCAACCCUGGUGGCGAGUGGCGAACGGGUGAGUAACAUAUCGGAACAUACCCUAGAGUGGGGAUAACGUAGCGAAAGUUACGCUAAUACCGCAUACGAUCUAAGGAUGAAAGUGGGGGAUCUUCGGACCUCAUGCUCAUGGAGUGGCCGAUAUCUGAUUAGCUAGUUGGUGAGGUAAAGGCUCACUAAGGCGACGAUCAGUAGCUGGUUUGAGAGAACGACCAGCCACACUGGAACUGAGACACGGUCCAGACUCCUACGGGAGGCAGCAGUGGGGAAUUUUGGACAAUGGGGGGCAACCCUGAUCCAGCAAUGCCGCGUGAGUGAAGAA